CCCUUAGAUGUUCUGGGCUGCACGCGCGCUACACUGACAUACUCAGCAAGUUUCCUUUCCCGAAAGGGUUGGGUAAUCUUGUUAGUGUAUGUCGUGAUGGGGAUAGAAUAUUGUAAUUAUUGCUCUUUAACGAGGAAUUCCUAGUAAGCGCAAGUCAACAGCUUGCGCUGAUUACGUCCCUGCCCUUUGUACACACCGCCCGUCGCUCCUACCGAUUGGGUGAUCCGGUGAAUGGUUCGGACUCUGGCUAUGCUAGCUACUAGCUACGUCAGGGAAAGUUCUGUGAACCUUNUNACUUGGNGGAAGGAGAANUCGUANCA
rnacentral:rRNA from 1 species